CUCCCCCCUCCCCCUCUACCCCCAUCUCUCCUACCACACUUUCCAAGAUACGGACUCUGCCUCUCCUCCUCCCUCUGUCUGUCUCUGGGUUGGUGGCUGCUCUCUCCAUCUCUCUGAUCAUUCUACUGGUCCUGUUCUGCAAGAGGAACAAAGAUGUAGCAGCUGAACCCAGAGAUGUUACGUAUGCUGACGUCAGAAUCAUACAGGACCCAGAACCCAGGAGAAGGAGAGAGAAGUCUCCAGGAGCUGAUCCAGUCUACUCUGCAGUGAAGACCUCCAACACCACAGUUCCAGGUGGAUCUGGUCCAGGUGAUGUGACCUAUGCUGACAUCAACCACACAGAGAAGAGACAACACAACAGGAGGAGAGAGAACGUCGUUCCAGACCCUGUCUACUCAGCAGUGAAGACAGACAGACAGAGAAACAGGUAGAACUGUAUCUGGAUCCAGGGACGUAAUGUACAGAGAG